AACGAACGCUGGCGGCAGGCUUAACACAUGCAAGUCGAGCGAGACCUUCGGGUCUAGCGGCGGACGGGUGAGUAACGCGUGGUAACGUGCCCUUCUCUACGGAAUAGACCCGGGAAACUGGGAGUAAUACCGUAUACGCCCUUUGGGGGAAAGAUUUAUCGGGGAAGGAUCGGCCCGCGUUGGAUUAGGUAGUUGGUGGGGUAAUGGCCCACCAAGCCGACGAGCCCUAGCUGGGUUGAGAGGAUGAUCAGCCACACUGGGACUGAGACACGGCCCAGACUCCUACGGGAGGCAGCAGUGGGGAAUCUUAGACAAUGGGGGCAACCCUGAGCUAGCCAGGCCGCGUGAGUGAUGAAGGCCUUAGGAUUGUAAAGCUCUUUCAGCUGGGAAGAUAAUGACGGUACCAGCAGAAGAAGCCCCGGCUAACUCCGUG
rnacentral:rRNA from 1 species